AUACGGAGGAUCCGAGCGUUAUCCGGAUUUAUUGGGUUUAAAGGGUGCGCAGGCGGCCAUUUAAGUCAGCGGUUAAAUCGUGGGGCUCAACCCCAUUCUGCCGUUGAUACUGGGUGGCUUGAUUGCGGUCGAGGUUGGCGGAAUUCGUUGUGUAGCGGUGAAAUGCAUAGAUAUGACGAAGACCACCGGUUGCGUAGGCAGCUGGCCAGACCGCAAAUGACGCGAAUGCACGAAAGUGAGGGGAUCGAACAGGAUUAGAUACCCUGAUAGUCCGCACAAUAAACGAUGAAUACGUGUUUUCGGCGAUAUAAUGUCGGAGGCAAAGCGAAAGCGAUAAGUAUUCCACCUUGGGAGUACGCCGGCAACGGUGAAACUCAAAGGAAUUGACGGGG
rnacentral:rRNA from 1 species